rnacentral:rRNA from 1 species
AACGAACGCUGGCGGCAUGCCUAACACAUGCAAGUCGAACGAGACCUUCGGGUUUAGUGGCGCACGGGUGCGUAACGCGUGGGAAUCUGCCCUUCGGUUGGGAAUAACUGAGAGAAAUUUCAGCUAAUACCUUAUAAUGUCUUCGGACCAAAGAUUUAUCGCCGAGGGAUGAGCCCGCGUAGGAUUAGGUAGUUGGUGGGGUAAUGGCCUACCAAGCCGACGAUCCUUAGCUGGUCUGAGAGGAUGAUCAGCCACACUGGGACUGAGACACGGCCCAGACUCCUACGGGAGGCAGCAGUGGGGGAUAUUGGACAAUGGGCGAAAGCCUGAUCCAGCAAUGCCGCGUGAGUGAUGAAGGCCUUAGGGUUGUAAAGCCCUUUUACCCGGGAUGAUAAUGACAGUACCGGGAGAAUAAGCUCCGGCUAACUCCGUGCCAGCAGCCGCCGUAA